rnacentral:snoRNA from 15 species
CUUGCACCCAAACCCAAGGACUGUGGCUUCUCGUAGCAGCAGUUUAAAGAGUGGUGCGCACAGAAAGUGGGCCUUGUCGCCUUUGAGGGGCUGUGCAGUGCCCCUCAGAGUGAAUGUGAAGGUUCGACAAGC